rnacentral:lncRNA from 1 species
UCCUGCCUCGUGCUAAGCGCCUCUUCUCUCUUUGGGUUUGCAGGUGAUGAAAUGUUCUCCUCUUCAGUAUAUGCAGAAGAGACUGGAGCUUAGCUCCUAUCUUCAUAACAGUAAAACUACAGUGAAAUCUGAAUUCUUUGUUCAUGUUUCACUGCCUACUUUGAGGAAAACAGUGAUCAUGAGAUCAGACGUCAGCCUCAGGGAGGAUAAGCUUCAAAAGGAAAAGGCUUCUGCAGCUGAGGACAGUCUGUUACUUUGGAAACUCUCUGGGCUGUGGCCUCACAUGAUGGAAAGAUUCGGCAGAGUCAACUGAAAUGUGCWGGCAUAUCAGAAGGGAAGGACUACUUUGCAUUCAGGAAGUUGCUCGUUUUGUGAUUAGCAUCACCAUGGCCCCGGAGGGAAGGGAUGGCACUGUCUGGAUAGAUUUCAGAUCUGCUGAGGGAACUUGCACCUGAUACUCACUCAGCCUGAGAUCCAGUCUACAAGUAGAAGAGUCGCCUGACACCAACUGAUGGCUUUGGGUUUAGGGUCSAAGAGAUGAUGUGCUGUGUGGGGCCACAGUGUGAAAUGAGAGUGGUCAGAAGUACAGUUCACCCAGUAGAUGUGACAUGAGUUUCCAGCCUCAGUUUGGCAGGGGAAUGUACAGGUAAGAUUAACUUUAUCAGAUUAUUGUUUA